rnacentral:rRNA from 1 species
GAUGAACGCUGGCGGCGUGCCCAAUACAUGCAAGUCGAGCGAACAGACGAGGAGCUUGCUCCUCUGACGUUAGCGGCGGACGGGUGAGUAACACGUGGAUAACCUACCUAUAAGACUGGGAUAACUUCGGGAAACCGGAGCUAAUACCGGAUAAUAUAUUGAACCGCAUGGUUCAAUAGUGAAAGACGGUUUUGCUGUCACUUAUAGAUGGAUCCGCGCCGCAUUAGCUAGUUGGUAAGGUAACGGCUUACCAAGGCGACGAUGCGUAGCCGACCUGAGAGGGUGAUCGGCCACACUGGAACUGAGCAACGGUCCAGCCUCCUACGGGAGGCAGCAGUAGGGAAUCUUCCGCAAUGGGCGAAAGCCUGACGGAGCAACGCCGCGUGAGUGAUGAAGGUCUUCGGAUCGUAAAACUCUGUUAUUAGGGAAGAACAAAUGUGUAAGUAACUAUGCACGUCUUGACGGUACCUAAUCAGAAAGCCACGGCUAACUACGUG